GACGAACGCUGGCGGCGUGCUUAACACAUGCAAGUCGAACGGAAAGGCCCUGCUUUUGUGGGGUGCUCGAGUGGCGAACGGGUGAGUAACACGUGAGUAACCUGCCCUUGACUUUGGGAUAACUUCAGGAAACUGGGGCUAAUACCGGAUAGGAGCUCCUGCUGCAUGGUGGGGGUUGGAAAGUUUCGGCGGUUGGGGAUGGACUCGCGGCUUAUCAGCUUGUUGGUGGGGUAGUGGCUUACCAAGGCUUUGACGGGUAGCCGGCCUGAGAGGGUGACCGGCCACAUUGGGACUGAGAUACGGCCCAGACUCCUACGGGAGGCAGCAGUGGGGAAUAUUGCACAAUGGGCGGAAGCCUGAUGCAGCAACGCCGCGUGCGGGAUGACGGCCUUCGGGUUGUAAACCGCUUUCGCCUGUGACGAAGCGUGAGUGACGGUAAUGGGUAAAGAAGCACCGGCUAACUACGUGCCAGCAGCCGCGGUGAUACGUAGGGUGCGAGCGUUGUCCGGAUUUAUUGGGCGUAAAGGGCUCGUAGGUGGUUGAUCGCGUCGGAAGUGUAAUCUUGGGGCUUAACCCUGAGCGUGCUUUCGAUACGGGUUGACUUGAGGAAGGUAGGGGAGAAUGGAAUUCCUGGUGGAGCGGUGGAAUGCGCAAAUAUCAUGAGGAACACCAGUGGCGAAGGCGGUUCUCUGGGCCUUUCCUGACGCUGAGGAGCGAAAGCGUGGGGAGCGAACAGGCUUAGAUACCCUGGUAGUCCACGCUGUAAACGGUGGGUACUAGGUGUGGGGUCCAUUCCACGGGUUCCGUGCCGUAGCUAACGCUUUAAGUACCCCGCCUGGGGAGUACGGCCGCAAGGCUAAAACUCAAAGGAAUUGACGGGGCCCCGCACAAGCGGCGGAGCAUGCGGAUUAAUUCGAUGCAACGCGUAGAACCUUACCUGGGUUUGACAUGGAUCGGGAGUGCUCAGAGAUGGGUGUGCCUCUUUUGGGGUCGGUUCACAGGUGGUGCAUGCCUGUCGUCAGCUCGUGUCGUGAGAUGUUGGGUUAAGUCCCGCAACGAGCGCAACCCUUGUUCACUGUUGCCAGCACGUUAUGGUGGGGACUCAGUGGAGACCGCCGGGGUCAACUCGGAGGAAGGUGGGGAUGACGUCAAGUCCUCAUGCCCCUUAUGUCCAGGGCUUCACGCAUGCUACAAUGGCUGGUACAGAGAGUGGCGAGCCUGUGAGGGUGAGCGAAUCUCGGAAAGCCGGUCUCAGUUCGGAUUGGGGUCUGCAACUCGACCUCAUGAAGUCGGAGUCGCUAGUAAUCGCAGAUCAGCAACGCUGCGGUGAAUAAGUUCCCGGGGCU
rnacentral:rRNA from 1 species